CCAUUCGGCCCUUUGAGCCAGCACCGCCAUUCAUUAUGAUCAUGGCUGAUCAUACAAAAUCAGUACCUUGUUCCUGCAUUCUCCCCAUAUCCCUUGAUUAUGUUAGCCCUAAGAGCUAUAUGUAACUCUCUCUUGAAUACAUAGUAGUAAAGAGUAAAAGUAGUAAAGGGGAACAUAGAAAUGGCAGACAAACUGAAUCCGUGUUUUGCGCCAGUUUUCACAGUAGAAGACACCAGCAAUGUACCAGAAAUUCAAGAGAGCCGGGUGGGGGGGCAGGUGAGUGUAGUCACUAUUACUGAGAAGUUGCUUGGGAAGUUGAAAGUUCUAAAGAUGCAGAAGUCACCUGAACCAGAUGGACUACACCUCAAGGUUCUGAAAGAAGUAGUUGUAGCAUUUCUAGAGGCAUUAUUAGUAACUGUUCCAGAGUCACUGGAGUCAGGAAUGGUUCCAGAGGACUAGAAAAUUGCAAAUGUAACUCUACUGUUUAAGAAAGGAAUGAGACAAAAGAUAGGAAUAGGCCACUUACCCUAACUUUCGUAAUUGGUGAGGAUUGGAGUCCAUUAUUAAGGAUGAGGUUUUGGGGUACUUGGAUGUAAAUGAUAAAAUAGGCUGAAGUCAGCAUUGUUUUGUUAAGGGGAGACCUUGCCUGACAAAUCUUUUGGAAUUCUUUGAGGAAGGAACAAACGGGAUAGACAAAAGAUGUUAUUUACUUGGAUUUUUAGAAGACCUUUGAUAUGGAGCCACACAUGAGGCUGCUAAACAAGAUGGGAGCCCAUUAGGUACUAGCAUGGAUUGGCUGAUUGGCAGAAGGCAAAGAGUGGGAAUAAAUGGGGAUUUUCUGGCUGGCUGCAGGUGACUAGUGGUGUUCCGCAGGGAUCGUUGUUGGAUCUACUACUUUUCAGGUUAUAUGUUAAUGAUCUGGUUAAUAGAAUUGUGUAGGAAGGAACUGCUGAUGCUGGUUAAUGAAAUUGUUAGCUGUGUGGCUAUGUUUGCGGGUAAUACGAAGGUAGGUGGAGGAGCUGGUUGUGUUGAAGCAGGGAAUCUGCAGAAUGACUUGAACAGGUUUGGAGAGGUGGCAGAUAGAAUACAAUAUAGCAAAGUAUAUCGUCAUGCACUUUAGAAGGAUUAAAGGCGUAGACUAUUUUCUGAAUGGGGAGAGGAUUCAGAAAUAGGAGGUGCAAACAAACUUUGGAGUGCUGCCGCAUUAUUCCCAAAAGAUUGAUUUGCAGAUUGAGUGGGUUGUAAGGAAGGCAACUACAGUGUUAGUAUUCAUUUUGAGAGGACUAGAAUAAGGUUGUAAUGCUGAGGCUUUAUAAAAGCACUGGUCAGGCGACAUUUGGAAAAUGUCAGCAGUUUUGAGCCCCAUUUCUGAGGAAGGAUGUCCUGGCAUUGGUGAAGGUCCAGAGGAGGUUUACAAAAAUGAUUCUGGUGAUGAGUGAGUUAACAUAUGAGGAUCAUUUGAAUGCUCUGGGCCUAUACUGCCUGUGGUUUAGAAUGAUGAGGGGGUUCUCAUUGAAACCUACCAAAUAAUGACAGGCUUGGAUAAUGGAUGUGGAGAGGAUGUUUCCAGUUGUGGGAGAACCAGGGGGCACAGCCUCAUUAAAAGGGCGCACCUUUAGAAUGGAGAUGAGGAGGAAUUUCUUUGGUUAAUUUGUGAAAUUCAUUGCUUUAGGACCUAAAGUAUAGGUGGUGGUGGAGGUCAAGUCAUUGGGUAUUAUCCUUUUACUGUCCUUUUUUCCCCUUCCUUGUCACUUUCCUGGAAUUGCUUUCCUUGUACCUGUAUUAUGUUAAUCACUAUCUAUAUAAACAUUGUAGACAUUUAGGGGCCUAGCAAGGGAACCAAAAGAAUGCUGUGAGUGUGGCUUUAUUCUUACAUCUAAAUUUAUUAUAGUGUAUUUUUGUCUAUUACUGCCAUUGUAAUUUAUUUUUCAUUAAUAAAUGUGAUAAACAUGCCAGCUAUGCAUUAAGAUGCAUUGCUAACUUUUUUUGGCAGCCUAUUCACUAUCUUUCUGCAUGGACUUUCCUGCUUAUUCCAGUUGUAUUUUAGUGAUUGUUGGUCCAUAAUUUCAAGUGGUCAAUAAUUUCAGUGGUGCUGCCGUUUCUAUGUGAAAAUUCUUCAUGAGUAAGCCUUGUUGGUUAUCCUGUGUAUGAGCAGCUUACUUGGCCACAUCCAUGAACAAUGGGGUUUGAACCUGUUUUAUUGUGAUAUACACUCUUUACAGGGGCCUUAACAGGGGACAUCUGUUCUUCUGCUUAGAUCAGGAAUUUGUUAUACUUUUCUACUGCCUUGGCUCAGAGCCAUAAACUAAAAUUAUGAUUGAAAACUACUCUCUACCAACAGGGAUGCUGCCUUCCGAUUGGGUUCCUCCAUCAGCUCUCUUUCUUUGCACAGAUUCUGCAUCAGUAAUUUUGUGUGCCUCCUUGUGAACUGCCACCUUGAUUUAAUUUAAUAAUGCAGUAGGUAAAAUCUGAAGAAGCAACGGUAACUGAGUGGAAUUGAAAUUUCAAGAUGGUGGUUAAAUUAAAAAUGGAGUGAGUUGAAAGACUGAAUUGCCCGCUCUUGUUAUUGUUUCCUAUCACAGUUGGCAUUUGGAAGGUUGUAUAUUGCACACUUAGGAGUCAUUUGCAGGAAUUUGAAGAAAAAAAAGAGUAUUUACAUACAGCUCUUUUUAGAAUUAGUUUGAAAGUACUUUUGAGUACUUGCAAUUAAAACAAUCUGUAUUUGAAUACUGUUUAUUUCUGAUGCUCUUUGGCAUACCUCUGCAAGUCAAAUGUAGUUGUGUGGGUUACCUUUGUGGAAAAUUCUGCAUAAUGUUGAAGUGGGUGACACAGUGGGGUACCUAUUUAAGGCAUGAUAUGAAGUUCCUUGUUAAAA